AGAGUUUGAUCUGGCUCAGAACGAACGGGUGCGGCAGGCCUAACACAUGCAAGUCGAACGAUCCUUCGGGAUAGUGGCAGACGGGGGAGCAACGCGUGGGAACGUACCCUUCACUGCGGAACAACGUCGGGAAACUGACGCUAAUACCGCAUAAUGUCUCCGGACCAAAGAUUUAUCGGUGUAGGAUGGGCCCGCGUCGGAUUAGCUAGUUGGUAGGGUAAUGGCCUACCAAGGCAACGAUCCGUAGCUGGUCUUAGAGGAUGAUCAGCCACACUGGGACUUAGACACGGCCCAGACUCCUACGGGAGGCAGCAGUGGGGAAUAUUGGACAAUGGGCGAAAGCCUGAUCCAGCCAUGCCGCGUGAGUGACGACGGCCUUAGGGUUGUAAAGCUCUUUCAGAUGCGAAGAUAAUGACGGUAACAUCAGAAGAAGCUCCGGCUAAAUUCGAGCCAGCAGCCGCGGUAAUACGAAUGGAGCAAGCGUUGUUCGGAAUCACUGGGCGUAAAGCGUACGUAGGCUGAUUUUCAAGUCAGAAGUGAAAGCCCAGGGCUCAACCCUGGAACUGCUUUUGAAACUGGAAGUCUAGAGUCCCGGAGAGGUUAGGGGAAUUCCGAGUGUAGCAGGGAAAUGCGCAGAUAUUCGGAGGAACACGCGUGGCGUAGGCGCCUAACUGGACGGGAACUGACGCUGAGGUACGAAAGCGUGGGGAGCAAACAGGAUUAGAUACCCUGGUAGUCCACGCCGUAAACGAUGGAUACCUUGUUGGAAUCCAUAGGGUUUCAGUGACGCAGCUAACGCGAUAAGCAUACCGCCUGGGGAGUACGAUCGCAAGAUUAAAACUCAAAGGAAUUGACGGGGACCCGCACAAGCGGUGGAGCAUGUUGUUUAAUUCGAAGCAACGCGAAGAACCUUACCUACACUUGACAUACUCGUCGGGAUUUCCAGAGAUGGAUUUCUUCGGUUCGGCCGGACGAGAUACAGGUGCUGCAUGGCUGUCGUCAGCUCGUGUCGUGAGAUGUUAGGUUAAGUCCUGCAACGAGCGCAACCCUUAUCGUAUGUUGCCAUCAUUAAGUUGGGAACUCAUGCGAGACUGCCGGUGUUAAGCCGGAGGAAGGUGGGGACGACGUCAAGUCAUCAUGGCCCUUACGUGUAGGGCUACAACCGUGCUACCAUGGCUACUUACAGUGGGCAGCAAACCGGCGACGGUGAGCGAAUCCCCAAAAGUAGUCUCAGUUCGGAUUGUUCUCUGCAACUCGAGAACAUGAAGUCGGAAUCGCUAGUAAUCGUGGAUCAGCAUGCCACGGUGAAUACGUUCCCGGGUCUUCUACACACCGCCCGUCACAUCAUGGGAGUUGGUUUUACCCGAAGGCCGUGUGCUAACUACGGAGGCAGCGGACCACGGUAGGGUCAGCGACUGGGGUGAAGUCGUAACAAGGUAACCGUAA
rnacentral:rRNA from 1 species